GAUCCUGGCUCAGAACGAACGCUGGCGGCGUGCCUAACACAUGCAAGUCGAACGAGAAAUCUUCGCUUCGGCGAAGAGAGUAAAGUGGCGAACGGGUGAGUAAUGCGUGGGUAAUCUACCCUUGAAUUGGGGAUAACCCGCCGAAAGGCGGACUAAUACCGAAUAAUGUCCCCGAAUCUCUGGUUUUGGGAAUUAAAGGUGACCUCUUCAUGAAAGUUGCCGUUUGGGGACGGGCUCGCGUACCAUUAGCUUGUUGGUAGGGUAAUGGCCUACCAAGGCAACGAUGGUUAGCUGGUCUGAGAGGAUGAUCAGCCACACUGGAACUGGAACACGGUCCAGACUCCUACGGGAGGCAGCAGUGAGGAAUUUUGCGCAAUGGGGGAAACCCUGACGCAGCAACGCCGCGUGAGCGAAGAAGGCCCUCGGGUCGUAAAGCUCUGUCAAGUGGGAAAAACCAUAUGGUGUUAAUACCGCCAUAUGCUGACGGUACCACUAAAGGAAGCACCGGCUAACUCCGUGCCAGCAGCCGCGGUAAUACGGGGGGUGCAAGCGUUAUUCGGAAUUACUGGGCGUAAAGGGCGCGCAGGCGGUCCUUUAAGUCAGAUGUGAAAGCCCUGGGCUUAACCCAGGAAGAGCAUUUGAUACUGCCAUUCUUGAGUAUGGGAGAGGAGAGUGGAAUUCCUAGUGUAGAGGUGAAAUUCGUAGAUAUUAGGAGGAACACCCGGUGGCGAAGGCGACUUCCUGGACCAAUACUGACGCUGAGGCGCGAAGGCGUGGGGAGAAAACAGGAUUAGAUACCCUGGUAGUCCACGCCGUAAACGAUGAGAACUAGGUGUAGCGGGUAUUGACCCCUGCUGUGCCGAAGUUAACGCAUUAAGUUCUCCGCCUGGGGAGUACGGCCGCAAGGCUAAAACUCAAAGGAAUUGACGGGGGCCCGCACAAGCGGGUGGAGCAUGUGGUUUAAUUCGACGCAACGCGAAGAACCUUACCUGGGUUUGACAUCCUUUGACCGCCUUGAAACAAGGUUUUCCCGACUCUGUCGGAACAGAGUGACAGGUGCUGCAUGGCUGUCGUCAGCUCGUGUCGUGAGAUGUUGGGUUAAGUCCCGCAACGAGCGCAACCCUUGUCUUUAGUUGCCAGUAUUAAGUUAGGCACUCUAGAGAGACUGCCUCGGUUAACGAGGAGGAAGGUGGGGAUGACGUCAAGUCCUCAUGGCCUUUAUACCCAGGGCUACACACGUGCUACAAUGGGCUGUACAAUGGGUCGCCAAUCCGCGAGGAUGAGCCAAUCCCAAAAAGCAGCUCCCAGUUCGGAUUGAAGUCUGCAACUCGACUUCAUGAAGUUGGAAUCGCUAGUAAUCGUGGAUCAGCAUGCCACGGUGAAUACGUUCCCGGGCCU
rnacentral:rRNA from 1 species